rnacentral:rRNA from 1 species
GUCUGAGAGGAUGAUCAGCCACACUGGAACUGAGACACGGUCCAGACUCCUACGGGAGGCAGCAGUGGGGAAUAUUGCACAAUGGGCGCAAGCCUGAUGCAGCCAUGCCGCGUGUGUGAAGAAGGCCUUCGGGUUGUAAAGCACUUUCAGUCGUGAGGAAGGUGGUGUAGUUAAUAGCUGCAUUAUUUGACGUUAGCGACAGAAGAAGCACCGGCUAACUCCGUGCCAGCAGCCGCGGUAAUACGGAGGGUGCGAGCGUUAAUCGGAAUUACUGGGCGUAAAGCGCAUGCAGGUGGUUUGUUAAGUCAGAUGUGAAAGCCCGGGGCUCAACCUCGGAAUAGCAUUUGAAACUGGCAGACUAGAGUACUGUAGAGGGGGGUAGAAUUUCAGGUGUAGCGGUGAAAUGCGUAGAGAUCUGAAGGAAUACCGGUGGCGAAGGCGGCCCCCUGGACAGAUACUGACACUCAGAUGCGAAAGCGU